rnacentral:rRNA from 1 species
GACGAACGCUGGCGGCGUGCUUAACACAUGCAAGUCGAACGGAAAGGCCCUGCUUUUGUGGGGUGCUCGAGUGGCGAACGGGUGAGUAACACGUGAGUAACCUGCCCUUGACUUUGGGAUAACUUCAGGAAACUGGAGCUAAUACCGGAUAGGAGCUCCUGCUGCAUGGUGGGGGUUGGAAAGUUUCGGCGGUUGGGGAUGGACUCGCGGCUUAUCAGCUUGCUGGUGGGGUAGUGGCUUACCAAGGCUUUGACGGGUAGCCGGCCUGGGAGGGUGACCGGCCACAUUGGGACUGAGAGACGGCCCAGACUCCUACGGGAGGCAGCAGUGGGGAAUAUUGCACAAUGGGCGGACGCCUGAUGCAGCAACGCCGCGUGCGGGAUGACGGCCUUCGGGUUGUAAACCGCUUUCGCCUGUGACGAAGCGUGAGUGACGGUAAUGGGUAAAGAAGCACCGGCUAACUACGUG